ensembl:lncRNA
GUGGGGUUGCCAGGGCAACCUAAGUGUGAGCUGGAAGGCUUCAAGAAGUACAAAGAGACUACAGGUCACAUUACAACUUACAGAUGGACUAAGGAUUCCUCUUCCAGUGAAGGGCCAUCAGCUUAUAGAAAACAAUAAUUGAGGACAACAAAGCAGUAUUAUCCCGGGGUUUGAACGAGUUAAGCUGAGCAUCGGAUAUAGUCACCAACAGGACGUUUUCCCUUCCUCUGCCUCUCCUGACAUCUCUAUCCAAAGCCAGACAUUCAUCACUGAGGUUGAAUUAUAGAUAGCAUCACCAACUCAAUGGACAUGAAUUUGAGCAAACUCUGGGAGGUAGUGGAGGACAGAGGAGCCUGGCGUGUUGCAGUCCAUGGGGUUAAGAAGAGUCAGACACUAUUUAGUGACU